GUCUAUGGCCAUACCACCCUUGAACAUGCCCGAUCUCAUCUGAUCUCAGAAGCUAAGCUGGGUGGGGCCUGGUUAGUACUUGGAUGGGAGAAGAAUGGGCUCCAGUACCAUCCAGGACAAUCCAAGAGAUGUUAGCU
rnacentral:rRNA from 1 species